UACGAAGGGGGCUAGCGUUGCUCGGAAUUACUGGGCGUAAAGCGCGCGUAGGCGGGUCGUUAAGUCGGGGGUGAAAUCCUGGAGCUCAACUCCAGAACUGCCUUCGAUACUGGCGAUCUUGGGUCCGGGAGAGGUGAGUGGAACUCCGAGUGUAGAGGUGAAAUUCGUAGAUAUUCGGAAGAACACCAGUGGCGAAGGCGGCUCACUGGCCCGGUACUGACGCUGAGGUGCGAAAGCGUGGGGAGCAAACAGG
rnacentral:rRNA from 1 species